rnacentral:tRNA from 8 species
GGCUCAUUGGUCAAGCGGUUAAGACACCGCCCUUUCACGGCGGUAACAGGGGUUCGAUUCCCCUAUGAGUCACCA